CCUACACGUCCGCCUGUGCUCAGUGGUCACCCCUCGCGUGUGGUUGUCUGCUUCCCAGUGUUCAUAAGUCCCGCUGAAGAAGCCGCAGGUCUACAACGCCUUCAACUACCUCAUCGUGGGCCAGUCUGACGCCAUACAUCGGUUUUUACAAUAAGGGAGACCAGCUCGACCUCGUCCGUAAAGGCAUUGGAGACAUGCACGCAGUCAGCACGCCGUAACAAGUUAAUGUUUGUCCACGUGUAGUCACCGAGGACGCGCCGGGAGUGAUCAGCGCUGCCCUCACAGUGCCGCAGCUGACGCGCCGCCGCCUCCACGCCGUCUUAGAGUGUCGGGUCCUCAACUUCAACGGCUCCCUGCCCGCCACCGCCACCGCCACCCUCGACAUGAACUUCCGGCUGCUCAACGUGACCAUCCUGAGCACGGCCACCAGACUACCUGAGCGCCGGAACGGAAUACGAGCUGGUGUGCCAGUCAUGGGGCUCGCAGUUGGUGGAGGGGCAACACCACGACCCUCACAAAAGGACGCUGCAUGACGCAGAACUCUACGGAUAGGAACGUGACCCUUUCGAUCCUCAAGUAUAGCACAGAGAUGACAGACAGCGGGAAGCACCUCACCUGCCGCGCCCUCAACCAGCACGGGAGGACAUGCAGCCUGCGCCUCAACGUGUACGGUACUAGAUCAAUCCCUCCCACGUGCUGAACCAUUAAGCGGCGACAUAGUGCUGAUGUGACGAUGGGUAUAUGCAGAUGGAAAGAGCCUGGUCGGGGCAAGAGAGAACCACUGCCUGAGCGAUCACACCCAGCUACCAGGAGGCUUCCUUGAAGGGGCUGGCAGGGGUGGAUAGGCAGAUUUCCAUUGCCCCGAAGAACUUACCUUGAACACCAUGAAUGCACUAUACCUUCCAUAAUCUUAUACCCUUUUGAGAUUCAACAAUCCUCCCUAAUAAAAAAAUAAUAAUCAAACUUAUGCAAGAAAGCGAGGCAUG